rnacentral:tRNA from 1 species
GGGGUGAUAGCUCAACUUGGGAGAGCGUCCGCCUCCAGCGACCUGCCAACCGGAAGGCGUGAUUGUUCCGGUCUGCGUUGGAGGACCGAGGCCUGUAGAGGGUCGAUGACGAGCACCUGCUCGGAGAGAGCGGAAGGUUGUGUGUUCAAAUCACACUCGCCCCA